rnacentral:rRNA from 1 species
CAGUAGCCGCGGGAAAACGUAGGGUGCGAGCGUUAAUCGGAAUUACUGGGCGUAAAGCGUGCGCAGGCGGUUGUGUAAGACAGGUGUGAAAUCCCCGGGCUUAACCUGGGAACUGCGCUUGUGACUGCACAGCUAGAGUAUGGCAGAGGGGGGUGGAAUUCCACGUGUAGCAGUGAAAUGCGUAGAGAUGUGGAGGAACACCGAUGGCGAAGGCAGCCCCCUGGGCCAAUACUGACGCUCAUGCACGAAAGCGUGGGGAACAAACAGGAUUAGAUACCCCCGUAGUCCCUGUCUCUUAUAC